UACGGAGGGUGCAAGCGUUGUUCGGAAUUACUGGGCGUAAAGCGCACGUAGGCGGAUAUUUAAGUCAGGGGUGAAAUCCCAGAGCUCAACUCUGGAACUGCCUUUGAUACUGGGUAUCUAGAGUAUGGAAGAGGUGAGUGGAAUUCCGAGUGUAGAGGUGAAAUUCGUAGAUAUUCGGAGGAACACCAGUGGCGAAGGCGACCACCUGGCCACAUACUGACGCUGAGGCGCGAAAGCGU
rnacentral:rRNA from 1 species